UACGUAGGGUGCAAGCGUUGUCCGGAAUUAUUGGGCGUAAAGAGCUUGUAGGCGGUCUGUCGCGUCUGCUGUGAAAAUCCGGAGCUCAACCCCGGACUUGCAGUGGGUACGGGCAGACUAGAGUGUGGUAGGGGAGACUGGAAUUCCUGGUGUAGCGGUGAAAUGCGCAGAUAUCAGGAGGAACACCGGUGGCGAAGGCGGGUCUCUGGGCCGGAAAAUUGACGCUGGAGGAGCGAAAGCGUCGGGAGCAAACAGGA
rnacentral:rRNA from 1 species